rnacentral:rRNA from 1 species
GACGAGGCACUACGGUGCUGAAGCAACAAAUGCCCUGCUUCCAGGAAAAGCCUCUAAGCAUCAGGUAACAUCAAAUCGUACCCCAAACCGACACAGGUGGUCAGGUAGAGAAUACCAAGGCGCUUGAGAGAACUCGGGUGAAGGAACUAGGCAAAAUGGUGCCGUAACUUCGGGAGAAGGCACGCUGACAUGUAGGUGAAGUGAUUUACUCAUGGAGCUGAAGUCAGUCGAAGAUACCAGCUGGCUGCAACUGUUUAUUAAAAACACAGCACUGUGCAAACACGAAAGUGGACGUAUACGGUGUGACGCCUGCCCGGUGCCGGAAGGUUAAUUGAUGGGGUCAGCGCAAGCGAAGCUCCUGAUCGAAGCCCCGGUAAACGGCGGCCGUAACUAUAACGGUCCUAAGGUAGCGAAAUUCCUUGUCGGGUAAGUUCCGACCUGCACGAAUGGCGUAAUGAUGGCCAGGCUGUCUCCACCCGAGACUCAGUGAAAUUGAACUCGCUGUGAAGAUGCAGUGUACCCGCGGCAAGACGGAAAGACCCCGUGAACCUUUACUAUAGCUUGACACUGAACAUUGAGCCUUGAUGUGUAGGAUAGGUGGGAGGCUUUGAAGUGUGGACGCCAGUCUGCAUGGAGCCAACCUUGAAAUACCACCCUUUAAUGUUUGAUGUUCUAACGUGGACCCGUAAUCCGGGUUGCGGACAGUGUCUGGUGGGUAGUUUGACUGGGGCGGUCUCCUCCUAAAGAGUAACGGAGGAGCACGAAGGUUGGCUAAUCCUGGUCGGACAUCAGGAGGUUAGUGCAAUGGCAUAAGCCAGCUUGACUGCGAGCGUGACGGCGCGAGCAGGUGCGAAAGCAGGUCAUAGUGAUCCGGUGGUUCUGAAUGGAAGGGCCAUCGCUCAACGGAUAAAAGGUACUCCGGGGAUAACAGGCUGAUACCGCCCAAGAGUUCAUAUCGACGGCGGUGUUUGGCACCUCGAUGUCGGCUCAUCACAUCCUGGGGCUGAAGUAGGUCCCAAGGGUAUGGCUGUUCGCCAUUUAAAGUGGUACGCGAGCUGGGUUUAGAACGUCGUGAGACAGUUCGGUCCCUAUCUGCCGUGGGCGCUGGAGAACUGAGGGGGGCUGCUCCUAGUACGAGAGGACCGGAGUGGACGCAUCACUGGUGUUCGGGUUGUCAUGCCAAUGGCACUGCCCGGUAGCUAAAUGCGGAAGAGAUAAGUGCUGAAAGCAUCUAAGCACGAAACUUGCCCCGAG